GGUAUACUCCCUCCGUCCGGAAAUACUUGUCUUCAAAAUAGAUAAAAGGGGAUGUAUCUAGACGUAUUUUAGUUCUAGAUACAUCUCAUUUUAUCCAUUUUGAUGACCAGUAUUUUCGUACGGAGGGAGUAAUAC
rfam:Triticum aestivum genome assembly, contig: Triticum_aestivum_CS42_TGACv1_scaffold_578335_7BL